AAAAAACGAAGGAGAAUCAUCUUUCGAAAACCCCUUUCUCUUUGAUUUCUUUGAAUAUUUUUACAAUCAGUGUCUGUUUUCUCUUUUGCCUUUUUCUGUAUUUUUUCUAUGCCUGUUUACAGCAUUCGAAUGGCCUUUUUAUGGCCCGAAUUACAAAAAUGAAAUGAAAAAAUAAAAAAUAAAAAAUAAAAAAUAAAAGAAAAUGCUCCCCCCCAAAUCCCUUCUGUUGCCCCUAUUCUGCUUUCUUUCUCUGCUUGUUUUUGUGUGUAUUUUUCAGGUACGAGGGUAGAGGUCGACGUAGAGGUACAGAGGCAGGGGCACAAGCGCAUGGGGGCUUGUCACAUAACGGUGGCACACGUGCGAAGGGGAGACUGCUGAGGCGCUGGGCUCCUUUACUGCUAGGGUUUCCAGUGCUUGGGCUGGGUAUUGGGUUAGGCUAGUAUUUGGGUAAUGCGAUUUGGGCUGGUGGGUUUUGGGCUGAACGGGUUGGUUGUUAUUGGGCUGGAUGUAAAUGGACUUUAAAAUGGACCUUUAAUUUAUUUGGUUUUCUUCUUUUUUUUUAUAUUUGUGUUUAUCAUUUGGGCAGGGCCGGGCAAAAUUUGGGUAUUACAGCUGCCCCUCUUUGCUCAUUGUUGUGUAACAGGAACGAAGCAAAGACUCCAAAAAUGGCCAAUUUUGCCCGGUCGUGCUGGACCUUGG
rnacentral:lncRNA from 1 species